rnacentral:rRNA from 1 species
GUGGGGAAUCUUGCGCAAUGGGCGAAAGCCUGACGCAGCCAUGCCGCGUGAAUGAUGAAGGUCUUAGGAUUGUAAAAUUCUUUCACCGGGGACGAUAAUGACGGUACCCGGAGAAGAAGCUCCGGCUAACUUCGUGCCAGCAGCCGCGGUAAUACGAAGGGGGCUAGCGUUGCUCGGAAUUACUGGGCGUAAAGGGCGCGUAGGCGGACAGCUUAGUCAGAGGUGAAAGCCCAGGGCUCAACCUUGGAAUUGCCUUUGAUACUGACUGUCUUGAGUUUGGGAGAGGUGAGUGGAACUCCGAGUGUAGAGGUGAAAUUCGUAGAUAUUCGGAAGAACACCAGUGGCGAAGGCGACUCACUGGCCCAAUACUGACGCUGAGGCGCGAAAGCGUGGGGAGCAAACAGGAUUAGAUACCCGUGUAGUCC